rnacentral:rRNA from 1 species
CCUACGGGAGACAGCAGUAGGGAAUAUUGCUCAAUGGGGGAAACCCUGAAGCAGCAACGCCGCGUGGAGGAUGACGGUUUUCGGAUGGUAAACUCCUUUUGUUAGAGAAGAUAAUGACGGUAUCUCACGAAUAAGCACCGGCUAACUCCGUGCCAGCAGCCGCGGUAAUACGGAGGGUGCAAGCGUUACUCGGAAUCACUGGGCGUAAAGAGCGCGUAGGCGGGAUAGCAAGUCAGAUGUGAAAUCCUAUGGCUUAACCAUAGAACUGCAUUUGAAACUGUUAUUCUAGAGUAUGGGAGAGGUAGGUGGAAUUCUUGGUGUAGGGGUAAAAUCCGUAGAGAUCAAGAGGAAUACUCAUUGCGAAGGCGACCUGCUAGAACAUAACUGACGCUGAUGCGCGAAAGCGUGGGGAGCAAACAGGAUUAGAUACCCUAGUAGUC